rnacentral:rRNA from 1 species
AUUGAACGCUGGCGGCAUGCUUUACACAUGCAAGUCGAACGGUAACAGGGUGCUUGCACCGCUGACGAGUGGCGAACGGGUAAGUAAUGCGUCGGAACGUGCCGAGUAGUGGGGGAUAACGCAGCGAAAGUUGUGCUAAUACCGCAUACGUACUGAGGUAGAAAGUGGGGGACCUUCGGGCCUCACGCUAUUCGAGCGGCCGACGUCUGAUUAGCUAGUAGGUGAGGUAAAGGCUCACCUAGGCGACGAUCAGUAGCGGGUCUGAGAGGAUGAUCCGCCACACUGGGACUGAGACACGGCCCAGACUCCUACAGGAGGCGGCAGUGGGGAAUUUUGGACAAUGGGCGAAAGCCUGAUCCAGCCAUGCCGCGUGUCUGAAGAAGGCCUUCGGGUUGUAAAGGACUUUUGUCAGGGAGGAAAUCCCUAGUGCUAAUAACACUGGGGGAUGACAGUACCUGAAGAAUAAGCACCGGCUAACUACGUGCCAGCCGCCCCGUAA